UGAAAUUCCUACAUGUGUAAAGCC
rnacentral:siRNA from 1 species